GCCCAAGUGGCGGAAUGGUAGACGCAGGGGAUUCAAAAUCCCCCGGUAGCAAUACCGUGUGGGUUCGAAUCCCACCUUGGGCACCA
rnacentral:tRNA from 1 species